AGAGGGUGUUGCUUUUUCAGUUUUGAACUCAAUGCACUGUGACAAUGGAGAAAAGUCCCAGAAGGAAUAGCUCUCCUUUGAGUGUCCCUCUGCAGUGCUGCUCUAUCAAAUCAACCUGGCAAACCUCCCCAUUAGUCAGGUUUAGUCUGUUGAGAUAAAGGACGUCUUUCAUGGCCAAGAUAGCAGCAGCACAUCUCCAGACAGAGCAACAACACAUUUUAGUAUAAAUAAAAGAUUACUGAACAAGGAAAACACUGAGAGAAGGGGAGAAAGAGAACAGCAGCAGCAGCAGCAGCAGCACACACACAC